ACCGACCUCCCGCCCCCGCUGCGCGCGUUUCUGGCCCUGCCAGUGUCUCCGCCGGUUGAAAGCGCGUGUCUGCGUCGGGUUCUGUUGGAGUGCGUUCGGUGCGCCGUGGGUCCGCGCUGCUUCCACCCAACUUCCUGUUAGUUUCUCUCCUGUCACAAUGGCAUGAUCUCGGCUCACUGCGACCUCUGCUUCCUGGGUUCAAGGAUUCUCCUGCCUCAGCCUCCCAAGUAGCUGGGAUUACAGUUUCCAUCAUUAUCUUCUAUGGAGUUCUUCAUUCCCACAUCUGUGGACCUUAAAAUCCUACCGUUGAGUGCCUGCCUUGGAUCAGCAGUCAGUUCGUUACCUUGGUUCUCAGACGAUGCUUGCAACAACGCCAUGCGAUUCGCCCACUCUUGGGUUACAUUAGUUAUACACUCUGGAGGUGACUUGACCUGUCAUUGUGAACAAUUAUUGCUCUUGGACGACCCAGGACAUAGGCCAGCCAGUACGUACCCCAGUGUGUUGGAGAAUCGCGCUCGGCUUCUUCCUCUGUGCUGAGUCAUGAAAGUUGCCGGAGCAGGUGCAGUUACACAACCUCCAGGUAACAUCACAUGAUCGUUCAAAAAAUAAUCAUCCAAGUCCAGGAUGCAGCAUCUGUCUCAGUUUUUGGCAUAGGAUGACAGUCUGAAAUACACUUACUGAAUUUGAAUAAGAACGGGCUCAGGUCAGUGAUUAUCGCUAGUGCCUUAUCAACGCCCUGUGGCUUUUCAGCAUUAGUCCCCAUAUCCUCGUCCGGUGUGGCACUGAGAGCAGCUAACUGUUGCCCUCGUUGGUUCCCAGUUGGCUUCCGUGACUGGUCAGGGUCAGGUCCACUGCCAACAGGCUGGUGUUGAAUCCCUUGGAGAAACACAGACAUUCUGACCCUAAAUUAUGCUUUCAAUGCCAUGUGUUUUCCUAUCACAAAAAUCCUCGUUCUCAAGUUUCUUCUUUCUUUAUUUUUAUUUCAUUUCAUUUUUUAGCAUUCCUCCACAAUUCAUUGCCCAAAUCUACUUUUUACUCAAUUUACUUGCUUUGGUCAUUUUUCAAUAUAGCACUUUAAUUUCUUAGACAAAUAUUUUCAACAUUCUCCUGUUUUCUCAAGGAUGUCUGUUUUCUCCCCAGGUAUGAUCCUGUUUAAGGACUGGAUUUAGGAUAACUACUUAGAGGUUAAAAGUCACAAGGGUGUAUGGAUGAGGCUGGAGUGAUCUGGGACCAAAGACAUCUAGGCUUGCUGUCAAGGCUUCUGAUCAACAUGAGAUGACCGCCGUGUGGUAAACUGAUGAACCCUGACCCUGAUCAACAUGAGAUGACCGCCGUGUGGUAAACUGAUGAACCCCGACCCUGAUGAACGUGAGAUGACCGCCGUGUGGUAAACUGAUGAACCCCGACCCUGAUGAACGUGAGAUGACCGCCGUGUGGUAAACUGAUGAACCCCGACCCUGAUGAACGUGAGAUGACCGCCGUGUGGUAAACUGAUGAACCCCGACCCUGAUGAACGUGAGAUGACCGCCGUGUGGUAAACUGAUGAACCCCGACCCUGAUCAACGUGAGAUGACCGCCGUGUGGUAAACUGAUGAACCCCGACCCUGAUGAACAUGAGAUGACCGCCGUGUGGUAAACUGAUGAACCCCGACCCUGAUCAACAUGAGAUGACCGCCGUGUGGUAAACUGAUGAACCCCGACCCUGAUCAACAUGAGAUGACUGCCGUGUGGUAAACUGAUGAACCCUGACCCAUUAGGCUUUGGCUACAGAAUGUGGAAAUAAGUUGUGUUACUACAUGUGUGUAAUCCUAGGGUGCAGGACACCGGCCGGGAGGUUCCAUAGAGUGAUGGGUUCUGCAGGUAACUCAUCCUCUAGUCCUCUGUAAGCUCCUAGAAGGAAGAAAUUAUGUCCUUUAGACUAAUAAAAUUCCUCCAAACCAAAUACAGCACCUACUGUGAAGACACAAAGAUACUUUUAGAAUAGUAAAAACUUUAUCCAUUGAGAAAUUCCUUAAUGAAACAGUAUCCAAGAAGUCAUUUGCCAGCAGAUUUCUUAGAGGUGCGAUAAAGAAGAGGACAUUGCCAGUCGUCACAGCAGCUGCAAUAGCUCCUCUCUAUUGUUAAACAGUGGGAUAUCUUGUGCAGGUUUUCAGUUGACAAUCAAUUUUAAAGAUUAGUUUCGGUCCCCAUCAAUCAAUUAUUUAUUAACCCAUCAAUAAAAAUUUAAAUGCUCUGUGAGGUACAAUAGCUAUUAAAA
rnacentral:lncRNA from 1 species